UACGAAGGGAGCUAGCGUUGUUCGGAAUCACUGGGCGUAAAGCGCGCGUAGGCGGCGAUACAAGUCAGGGGUGAAAUACCUGGGCUCAACCCAGGAACUGCCUCUGAAACUGUAUUGCUUGAGUGUCGGAGGGGAUAGCGGAAUUUCUAAUGUAGCGGUGAAAUGCGUAGAUAUUAGAAGGAACACCGAUGGCGAAGGCAGCUAUCUGGACGACAACUGACGCUGAGGCGCGAAAGCGUGGGGAGCAAACAGG
rnacentral:rRNA from 1 species